AUGAAAAGGCAAAAAUCCCAUUGGUGCAACACACUGGGAUUUGGGGAUUGGGGGUGUGGAAUAUUCCAGAAUUCCUCACUUUUCCAUCAAUUCCUCCUCAUGUUUUCUAUGAAUUUUCUCUCUUUUCUUUUGUAUCCAUUAAAAACAGUGAUAAAAAGUCAAAAAUCCCAUUGGUGCAGCCCAGUCGGAAUUGGGGGUGUGGAAUAUUCCAGAAUUCUUCACUUUUCCGUCAAUUCCUCCUCGUGUUUUCCAUGGAUUUUCUCUUUCUUUUCUUUUCUAUCCAUUAAAAAUGAUGAUAAAAAGGUAAAAAAUCCCAUUGGUGCAGCCCAGUCGGAAUUGGGGAUUCCAGGUGUGGAAUAUUCCAGAAUUCCUCACUUUUCUGUCAAUUCCUCCUUGUGUUUUCCAUGGAUUUUCCCUCCCAUUUUUGAUUUUCUAUCCAUUAAAAAUGGUGAUAAAAAGUCAAAAAUCCCAUUGGUGCAGCCCAGUCGGAAUUGGGGAUUGGGGGUGUGGAAUAUUCCAGAAUUCCUCAUUUUUCCCUGUCAAAUUCUCCUUCUCUUCGUGUUUUCAAUGAUUUUUUCCUUAUUUUCUCUUAUUUUGUAUCCAUUAAAAACAGAGGCAAAAAGGCACCCUGUCAAAUUCUCCUUCUCUUCGUGUUUUCAAUGAUUUUUUCCUUAUUUUCUCUUAUUUUGUAUCCAUUAAAAACAGAGGCAAAAAGGCAAAAUUGUUGGAAUUGGGGAUUCCAGGUGCAGGAAACAUUGGAAAAAUGGAAUAUUCCAGAAUUCCUCACUUUCCCACAUCAUUUCUUCUUUCUCCUUGUCUUUUCCAUAUUUUUUUCCUGUUUUGUAUCAUUAAAAACAGCCAAAAAAGGGCAAAAAAUCUCAUUUUAAGAUCCGGAGGGACACGCUGGGAUUUUGGAGCUUUGGAAUAUUCCAGAAUUCCUUUUUCCAUGUCAAAUUCCUCCUUGGAUUUUCCAUGAUUUUCCCUUUGUUUUUCUCUCUUUUAUAAUUAUUAAAAUCAACUACAAAAAGCAAAUUGGAUUUUUUACCCGAAAUUCACGUUUUCCUCCCAAAAAUCCUUGUUUUUCCCCCCAAAAAAUUCCCCUUUUCCCCCCAAACCAAACAGGGAUGGAAUUUUUUCCCAUUUUCUUUGUUUUUUCCCCCAUUCCCUCUCAACAUCUGGGGGGGUUCAGGGUUGUCCCCCAAUCCCUCCCAUCCCAAAAUUCCUCCAAGCUUUGGGGUCAAUUCCUGGGAUUUUUGUAUUUUUCAAAUUUCAAUAGAAUGAAAUUCCUCCCCCUGCCCACACACCCCCAAAAUUCCCCAAAAAAGGGGGAACUUCCCCCAAAAAAGGGGAAACUUCCCCCCAAAAAGGGGACACCCCAAAAAAAGGGUGUAAGGAGCCCCAAACCGCCCAAUUUUGGGGAAAAAAAGGGCAAAUUUGGGGCAGAUUUGGGUAAAAAUGUGGAAUUUUGGGUGCUGGUGUCACCCUUCAAUGAUCCCUAAAAAUGGGGGAGACCCCAAAAAAUUGGGGGGGAGCCCAAAAUUUCGAUUGGCUGUUUCAAUUUGGGGAUAAAAAUGCUGAUUUAGUGCAAAUUUUGGGGCAGAUUCAGAGCAGAUUUGGGACUCCCCAAAGCAAAAGAGGGGGGGACACGUUGGGUUGUUUCAUU
rnacentral:lncRNA from 1 species